UGGGGGAUAACCAUUGGAAACGAUGGCUAAUACCGCAUAAUACCUUCGGGUCAAAGAGGGGGACCUUCGGGCCUCUCGCGUCAGGAUAUGCCUAGGUGGGAUUAGCUAGUUGGUGAGGUAAUGGCUCACCAAGGCGACGAUCCCUAGCUGGUCUGAGAGGAUGAUCAGCCACACUGGAACUGAGACACGGUCCAGACUCCUACGGGAGGCAGCAGUGGGGAAUAUUGCACAAUGGGCGCAAGCCUGAUGCAGCCAUGCCGCGUGUGUGAAGAAGGCCUUCGGGUUGUAAAGCACUUUCAGUCGUGAGGAAGGUAGUGUAGUUAAUAGCUGCAUUAUUUGACGUUAGCGACAGAAGAAGCACCGGCUAACUCCGUGCCAGCAGCCGCGGUAAUACGGAGGGUGCGAGCGUUAAUCGGAAUUACUGGGCGUAAAGCGCAUGCAGGUGGUUUGUUAAGUCAGAUGUGAAAGCCCGGGGCUCAACCUCGGAAUAGCAUUUGAAACUGGCAGACUAGAGUACUGUAGAGGGGGGUAGAAUUUCAGGUGUAGCGGUGAAAUGCGUAGAGAUCUGAAGGAAUACCGGUGGCGAAGGCGGCCCCCUGGACAGAUA
rnacentral:rRNA from 1 species